rnacentral:rRNA from 1 species
GAUGAACGCUAGCGGCAGGCCUAACACAUGCAAGUCGAGGGGGAGGUUACUUUCGGGUAACUGAGACCGGCGUACGGGUGCGUAACGCGUAUACAAUCUGCCUUUCACUGGGGGAUAGCCCGAAGAAAUUUGGAUUAAUACCCCAUAGUAUAGUAAUACGGCAUCGUGAUGCUAUUAAAGCUUAGGUGGUGAAAGAUGAGUAUGCGUUCUAUUAGCUAGUUGGAGAGGUAACGGCUCCCCAAGGCGAUGAUAGAUAGGGGUUCUGAGAGGGAUGUCCCCCACACUGGUACUGAGAUACGGACCAGACUCCUACGGGAGGCAGCAGUGAGGAAUAUUGGACAAUGGUCGGAAGACUGAUCCAGCCAUGCCGCGUGCAGGAUGAAGGUCUUAUGGAUUGUAAACUGCUUUUGUAAGGGAAGAAUAAGGGCUACGCGUAGUUUGAUGACGGUACCUUACGGAUAAGCAUCGGCUAACUCCGUG